rnacentral:lncRNA from 1 species
UUAAAAUUAUUGCAGUUUUACGUUAAAAAAUACCCUAAAGGAUUGAUUGUAAACAUCGCUUGACGUGUUUCUACAAACGGUAAUGGAACUUUUGGCCAUUUCGUCUACGGAUUUGCGUCCACGCCACAUGGCAUUGUAAAGUGUUCUGGAUGGGUCAACAAAACGGAUGUAUUUGGAAAUAAUUUAUGGGCUUUGCAGAACAAAUGAACAUUUCUUGUGGAAGUGGGAGCCCAUCCGAGUGCAUUCUGCCGAAGAUCAGCAAAGAACCAAAAUGGGUACUGAACCGUCAAAUGCCAUGGCGGAGAUCUCUCACCUUUACCUUGUCGCUGACGUAGCCUCGGCCACAGCCACACAACACAGCUAAUCAACCUUACCGUUUACCGGACACCGGCUUCCCAAACCCACUGCAGUCACUCGCUCCACUAAAGUCUCGCUGCAUGGAGAGAACAAAUCAAAAAGGUAGAGUGUAAGAAAGAAAAAGAGAGACACAAUUCCAAAACAGAGAGAGGAGAGAGAGUUCAAAAACAAAUCCAAUUGUGAUUAACUCCCAUAUCUACUGGGUGAAAUACCACAGUGUGACAUCACAGCAGCAAGAUGUGUGACCUGUUACCACAAGAAAAGGGCAACCAGUGAAGAACAAACACCAUUUUAAAUACAAACAAUAUUUAUGUUUAUUUAUUUUCCCUUUUGUACUUUAACCAUUUGCACAUCGUUACAACACUGUAUAUAUAGACAGUAUUUGAAAUGUCUAUUAUUUUGAAACUUGUGAGUGUAAUGUUAACAGUUCAUUUUAUUGUUUAUUUCAUUUUUGUUUAUUAUCCAUUUCACUUGCUUUGGCAAUGUUAACAUAUGUUUCCCAUGACAAUAAAGCCCCUUGAAUUGAAUUGAGAGAGAGAGAGGGUGGAGAAAAGGAGAGAGAGGGGGAUAGGUGGAGAG